rnacentral:lncRNA from 1 species
CGCUAAUGAAAGAUCCAAAAACUAUACCAAUACAUAACGACAUGUUUAUGAAAUUAUAACAAAUCUAUUGGUUAACAAAUUUUUACUCGUUAUUGGAAAAAAAUGAACUUAAUAUAUCUGACAUGUUCUCCCUACCCAGUUUACCCCUAUACAUUUUUAUGAUGUGGACUGGUCAUUGUUAUUGAAUCACAGGCAAUUUGAUUGGAUUAAGUUGUUAUUAGUUACCUUCAAACUUGUUUAUGCUUUUCAUACAUGACUAUUGAUUAAUUAGAACGUGCAUGAAUGUGUACGGUAACUAAAAUGACCUUCAAACUGGACA